rnacentral:rRNA from 1 species
GACGAACGCUGGCGGCACGCUUAACACAUGCAAGUCGAACGAGAGAAGAGAAGCUUGCUUUUCUGAUCUAGUGGCGGACGGGUGAGUAACACGUGAGCAAUCUGCCUUUCAGAGGGGGAUACCGAUUGGAAACGAUCGUUAAUACCGCAUAACAUAAUUGAACCGCAUGAUUUGAUUAUCAAAGAUUUAUCGCUGAAAGAUGAGCUCGCGUCUGAUUAGCUAGUUGGUAAGGUAACGGCUUACCAAGGCGACGAUCAGUAGCCGGACUGAGAGGUUGAUCGGCCACCUUGGGACUGAGGCACGGCCCAGACUUCUUCGGGAGGCAGCAGGAGGGAAUAUUGCACAAUGGAGGAAACUCUGAUGCAGCGAUGCCGCGUGAGGGAAGAAGGGUUUGGGAUUGUAAACCUCUGUCUUCAGGGACGAAAAAAGACGGUACCUGAGGAGGAAGCUCCGGCUAACUACGUG